rnacentral:rRNA from 1 species
CGCCACAGCCAUAUCGCCCUGCAGCCCAAGAUUGGUCACCCACUGAAGCUAAGCAGGGUUGAGCCUGGUCAGUACUUGGAUGGGAGACCUCCUGGGAAAACUAGGUUGCUGUUGGAA